rnacentral:rRNA from 1 species
UACGGAGGAUGCGAGCGUUAUCCGGAUUUAUUGGGUUUAAAGGGUGCGUAGGCGGAAUAUCAAGUCAGCGGUAAAAAUUCGGGGCUCAACCCCGUCGUGCCGUUGAAACUGCCGUGCUAGAGAGGAAGAGAAGUAGGCGGAAUGCGCAGUGUAGCGGUGAAAUGCUUAGAUAUUGCGCAGAACUCCGAUUGCGAAGGCAGCAUACCGGCGCCCGACUGACGCUGAAGCACGAAAGCGUGGGUAUCGAACAGG